rnacentral:rRNA from 1 species
UACGUAGGGUGCAAGCGUUGUCCGGAAUUAUUGGGCGUAAAGGGCGCGUAGGCGGCCUGUUAAGUCGAACGUGAAAUCCCCGGGCUCAACCCGGGAACUGCGUCCGAUACUGGCAGGCUUGAAUUCGGGAGAGGGAUGCGGAAUUCCAGGUGUAGCGGUGAAAUGCGUAGAUAUCUGGAGGAACACCGGUGGCGAAGGCGGCAUCCUGGACCGAGAUUGACGCUGAUGCGCGAAAGCCAGGGGAGCAAACGGG